rnacentral:rRNA from 1 species
GAUGAACGCUGGCGGCGUGCCUAAUACAUGCAAGUCGAGCGAACAGACGAGGAGCUUGCUCCUCUGACGUUAGCGGCGGACGGGUGAGUAACACGUGGAUAACCUACCUAUAAGACUGGGAUAACUUCGGGAAACCGGAGCUAAUACCGGAUAAUAUAUUGAACCGCAUGGUUCAAUAGUGAAAGACGGUUUUGCUGUCACUUAUAGAUUGAUCCGCGCCGCAUUAGCUAGUUGGUAAGGUAACGGCUUACCAAGGCAACGAUGCGUAGCCGACCUGAGAGGGUGAUCGGCCACACUGGAACUGAGACACGGUCCAGACUCCUACGGGAGGCAGCAGUAGGGACUCUUCCGCAAUGGGCGAAAGCUUGACGGAGCAACGCCGCGUGAGUGAUGAAGGUCUUCGGAUCGUAAAACUCUGUUAUUAGGGAAGAACAAAUGUGUAAGUAACUAUGCACGUCUUGACGGUACCUAAUCAGAAAGCCACGGCUAACUACGUG